rnacentral:rRNA from 1 species
GAUGAACGCUAGCUACAGGCUUAACACAUGCAAGUCGAGGGGCAGCAUGGACAUAGCUUGCUAUGUUUGAUGGCGACCGGCGCACGGGUGCGUAACACGUAUCCAAUCUGCCCGUUACCCGGGGAUAGCCUUCUGAAAGGAAGAUUAAUACCCGAUGGCAUGUAUUUCCGGCAUCGGAGAUACAUUAAAGAUUUAUCGGUAACGGAUGAGGAUGCGUACGAUUAGCUUGUUGGCGGGGUAACGGCCCACCAAGGCUACGAUCGUCAGGGGUUCUGAGAGGAAGGUCCCCCACACUGGAACUGAGACACGGUCCAGACUCCUACGGGAGGCAGCAGUGAGGAAUAUUGGUCAAUGGUCGGAAGACUGAACCAGCCAAGUAGCGUGAAGGAUGACUGCCCUACGGGUUGUAAACUUCUUUUGUUUGGGAAUAAAAGACGCUACGUGUAGCGUUCUGCAUGUACCUUACGAAUAAGCAUCGGCUAAUUCCGUGCCAGCAGCCGCGGUAAAAC